rnacentral:rRNA from 1 species
GUGGGGGAUAUUGCACAAUGGGGGAAACCCUGAUGCAGCGACGCCGCGUGAGUGAAGAAGUAUUUCGGUAUGUAAAGCUCUAUCAGCAGGGAAGAAGAUGACAGUACCUGACCAAGAAGCCCCGGCUAACUACGUGCCAGCAGCCGCGGUAAUACGUAGGGGGCAAGCGUUAUCCGGAUUUACUGGGUGUAAAGGGAGCGUAGACGGCUCUGUAAGUCUGGAGUGAAAGCCCGGGGCCCAACCCCGGGACUGCUCUGGAAACUGUGGAGCUAGAGUACAGGAGGGGCAGGCGGAAUUCCUGGUGUAGCGGUGAAAUGCGUAGAUAUCAGGAGGAACACCGGCGGCGAAGGCGGCCUGCUGGACCGUGACUGACGUUGAGGCUCGAAAGCGUGGGGAGCAAACAGGA